CCUCCCUCUGUGUAUGUGUGUAUAGAUGUGUUGGUCAGGUAAAUGUACAAUAUUAUAUAUUUAUACGAAUUUGGUUGAUAAUUAUAUUUGCCUCUUCUUAAGAACCCUUUGAAAUUUCACAAUUAGGGUUCUCUAAUUGAUGUAAAUACUCAUCAUGGGGCAAAAAGUUUAUGCAGGAGAGUUGAGUCGCUUUGCCUCAGUACAGUUGCGCCAGGUGCAGUGAAUUUAGAUCCUGCUAAAUAUAUUCAAUUAUCACUUUUAAGUUUUUCUUCAUUUUCGUAUGAAAGAUAGAAAUUGGAUUGGGGAUUCCGAUGAUGGCAUGAAAUCUUUGAGACCUGAUUGUCUAAUUUGAUGACAACUACAAGCAUUUUCUUCUGAGGAUAUCCCCUUCCAAAAAUUCAGGAUUUUACAGUAAAUUAUCUUCUUUUUUAAUUUUUUUUAUAUGCAUUUUAAUGGAUUAUUAUUUUAUUUAUUAAUUUAUUUCAUAUUAGCAAAUUUGGAAAAUCGGAAAAUAAAUUUUAUGGUAAAUGCAAUGAUGUGAUGAUCGCACUGGGCUCUGAUCAGUUAUUUAAAACUGUUUAUUGAUGGACAAUGCAGCCUAGAAAGCUAUAUCUGAUCUUCAUUUUAUUAAUUUUAUUUAAAUAUUUUCUUUUCAAUUCGAUCAUCUAUCCUUAGUGUAUUAUCCCUUUCGCUUUCCAAAAUCAUUCCAUUCGGAACAAAAUUUACUUUCGAGAGAUGAAAUUUAAUUGUUGUUACCAGCAUCAACCAAAGAAAUACCAAAACCAAAAUUUGGAGCAAAAAUUUCUGCAAAGCAGAUUUAGAAUAAUAAGGGUCCGUUUGAUUGCAAAGAUGGAAUUGAAUUGGCUAGAAAACGAAUUUCAGGGAAUUGAAUUGCCUAAAAUUGUUUUUCUGGGAAUUGUAAAUUAUUGUGUUUGAUUGGUAUAAUAUUUUGCGUG
rnacentral:lncRNA from 1 species